rnacentral:rRNA from 1 species
UGUUUAACUGACAUGAUUGUGGGACGUCCUACCGGUGGACUUAGCCUCUAUCUCUCCGGAUUUAGGGGCGGUCCAGCUAAUAUCCCAUCGCGGUGCUUUUCAUCGAGUGUCGAGGUGGGCCGGUACGUUUACUUUGAACAAAUUAGAGUGCUCAAAGCAGGCCAUCCUCGCCUGAAUACUGUGUGCAUGGAAUAAUGGAAUAGG